AGAGCCGGUGUUCUAUGGGUAGAAAAGUUAACACUUUUUUUGAAAGCUUCGGCUUUUAGUGAUUUAUUCGCAUAAAGUUCUAUAUAGAUUACAGAUAAUGACUAUUAUCUAUAUAAAAGUCUUGACUAAAACACGUGCCAGCAGUCGCGGCAACACGGGACAGACUAGUGUUAUUCAUCUUUAAUAGGUCUAAAGGGUACCUAGACAGCAGAUAUGGCCCCCAGGUAUGGGAUCGUACUUUUUUGCUAGAGUUUUAUGCGAGAGGUUUUUAGUACUAGCAGAGUAGAGAUGAAAUUCUUUGAUACUGUAGGGCACUGAUAACGGCGAAGGCAGACCUUUAUGUAAAAACUGACGUUGAGGGACGAAGGCUUGGGUAACAAACAGGAUUAGGUACCCUAAUAGUCCAAGCAGAGAAUGAUGAGUGCCAUAGAUUAGAUAUAUUUUUGGUCUAUAAAUGAAAGUGUAAGCACUCCACCUUAAGAGUAAUGCGGCAACGCAGGAACUGAAAUCAUUAGACCGUUUCUGAUACCAACAGUGAAGUAUGUUAUUUAAUUCGAUGCCCCACGAAAAAUCUUACCACAAUUUGAAUAUUAUAGCAACAAACGGAAAGUCAUUUAAUAUUUUUAUUAUUUUGAAGAAAUUGCUAUUAAUACAGGUGUUGCAUGGCUGUCUUCAGUUGAUGUCGUGAGAUGCAGGUUAGAUCCGGUAAUCAACGUAUAACCCUUAUUUUAUUUUUUCUAAAUAGAGUAGUUUCUUCC
rnacentral:rRNA from 1 species